CCAAGCCCUCCAUGACCCAGGGACCUGACCUGGCCUUGCUGCUCCCUCAUCUGCCCGCUGGGCCCGGUGCAACACUGAGCACCUGACCCAUGGGGGCUGCCCUGCCCCACAGAAGGCAAGAGGCCCGGCGGCCCUGUCUGGGCUGGGGACUGUGGGAGGGUCUUGGGAGCAAAGCCCCGGGGAGGGGCCCCAGCAGGACCUCAGGUCCCCAUGCUUGCUCCCACCCAAGGUGCACCCUGGCACCAGAGCUCCCCACGAGGCCUCAGCUGGGUGGUCUCUUGGGACGCUCUAAACAGAUGGGCCAUGCUGCCCACACCCUCCCCUGCCUGCAGGUCGCUACCCACCCUGGCCUGGGAAGACCAGCCCUGCCCGCUUCACCAGACUCCAGGAGCCACUGUGCCCGGGACAAGGCUGCAUGUCCCACUCAGUGCCAAUUUUCAGGGCACUAGGAGAAGGGACUAGCCUAGCCCUCGGGCCAUGCCUGCCAGCACAGCCUGCAUAGCCACCCACCCCUGCCUCUCCAGGCCUCCCAGGAGACAGAGCCACAGUAAGAAGCCGAAGGUGGGAGCUUCAAAGAGCUCGGUGCACAUACAUCAAACGCCACCCAGGGAGACCCGCCACGAAGCCGGACGCGUGAUGCCUGCGCUGGAACCUCCUGCAACGUUGGUGACAGCAGCGCAUCGAGUUUCCUGGGUGCCCAGGGAGACCGCACCGCUGCACCCUCGGAGCACGAGGCAGACACUCAAAGCCGGGCUCCAGAGGAAAAGUCAAAGGUUCAAAGGGACCAAGCAGCCAGCAUCAUCCAGGGCCCCGGCGUGGGCACGUCUGGGGAGGCAGUCAGUGGCUCUGAGGGGUUUGGGGAGCAGGCAGGGGCUCUGCCUAACCCAGGCACACAAAGGCACAAAGAAGCGGGGAGAGGCGGAUGGCAAUGCCGGAUCUGAUUUUCUCCCUUGUCGUUUUCUGUAUUUUCCAAAGUAUCUCCUCUGAGUGAGUCUUGCUUUCAUGAUCACGGAAAAAAGAAACAUAUAAGAGCCGCCAACAUCAGAGCUGGCGUAGAGUCAGAGGGAAAACGCAGAUCUGAGUGCACUUUGAAGUCAGAAAGCCCCCAGGGAGGCUCCUAUUGUGCGGACACACUGUUCCCACCUGUGCCAGCCUCAAGGCGCCGAGGCUGAGCCGCUCCAGCUCCAGCUCAGUGAGAAUGGGGGCACACAUACUCCAGCAGCCCUGAGCCCCAAGGACCACAGCCUCCCGCUGGAGCACUCCAGGGGACAGGAUCACACCAGCCCGGAUAGGCCUCAGCAGCCCCCCACCAAGUAGGGUCGUGCUGCCAGUCUCAUCCAUAUGGAGAUGCCAGGGAGGGCCCACCAGCCCUCAGAGGCCAGGUGCACAUGCGGUCAGCCCUACAAAACCUGCCUGCUCCCAGCACCACCACCCACACCACAGCACACUGGUCCUCCCCGGACACCUGAGCAUGUACACAGCAGGGGCCGGGAGCUGAGCUGGGAGGGGAACAGUGGAAGGAGGACCCCCUUUUACCCCCCUUUACCCUCACUGGCUCAGUAUUAGGGGACAGCCCGAAGAAGGCUCUCACCUCUGAGUUCAAUAAGCUGCCCGAUCCUCCCAGAGGGAAACACGGCCCCAACCUCAGGGACAGGACGGGGCAAGGGCAGGCACCUGAAGCCCAGCCAUGGGCACUGGUGGGUCACAGGCGGGGAGGGUCCCCAGGUUCUUCCACCCAGCCCGUGUGUGCAUUGGGAAGAGAAGGGGGCACCGCCACAGACCCCUCCCCACCUGACCGACAGGAAAGACCUCCAGGCACCUCUUAGGGGCAGCUCCUGUGACAGCCCCCCCAGAGGGGGCAGCUGGGGACCCUCCCUGCUGUGGGAGGGCAGUGGUGUCCAUUCAUGCAAGCCUGCACAGCGGGCUCUGACCCUCCGCCUCUGGCAUCUGGCCCCAGGCACUGAGAGGCUCAGGGAUCAGGAGUUGGGGCUCCCAGAGCCUGGAGGGUGCACUGUCCAGGCAGCUCAGACCCUCGACAUGCCCAGCAGGGGUUCCCAGGCCCAGGGCGCUGAGUGUGGGAGCCGGGUGCACACUCCAGGCUGCGCCAUGGGCCCGGCCACGUGCCCAGCAGUUAUUUGCAUUCUUCCCCACCCGUUAGCCCCGGGAGCUGGAUCAAGCUGCUCUAAAUGAAAGCCCGUUACCACGGAUACACGAGAACUGGGGUAAGACAAAUUGCACAGGGGAUGGGGGUGCCGUCAGCCAUGAGGGGCCAGCAGCACACGGAGCUGGCCCCAGUGCUGUCCCACGGCCCCCAACCUGGGCCCUCUGCUGUCCACCUGCCCCAGUUCCAGCCGGAGUGCUCAGUUCUUCACCCUCAAGCUGCACUCCCAAGCAGAGUCGACCCCCGUCCCCAUCACCGCCCACGGCUUCAGGGCUGAGGGUGUGAGCCAGGAAGAUGAGAGAGUCGCCAGCCAGGCGUCAGCCCCAGCAUCCUGGGGUCCUCACCGCCUCAUCUGCAGAGUCGGGCCUGGCCUCACUGUGGGUGGCCAUGGCCAUGAAUCCCAGAGGAGGUAGCACAAAGCUGAUGCCUCGUAAAUGCGCGAGGUUCCAUGCAAGCCUCCCUACCCGGGACCCCGAAACCCAAUAGGCCAGGACUGAGCCUGUCCUGGAGCAGGCCGGAGGCCCACACCACCUGGGGCACCUUGCCAACCACCGCCCUAAUGUGCACAGGUAACUGAGCUCACAUCAGUGGUGUCAGGCACCGACUCAAGGGGAUGGGACACGAUUCAGGCUCAACCAAGAAGGAGCCUCCCAGAAAGACCCCCAGGAUGAGGGUAGGCCAGCACUCAGCACAAGACUGCCCUCCCUCAGCAUCCACCAACCAGGCAUGGGGUGGGGACAGUGACAAGUGGUAGGGACAGAGUCAGGGACUGUGAUGAGGGGC
rnacentral:lncRNA from 1 species